CCUACGGGAGGCAGCAGUGAGGAAUAUUGGUCAAUGGCCGGAAGGCUGAACCAGUCAUGCCGCGUGAAGGUCAGUGCCCUAUGGGCGUUAAACUUCUUUUGUGCGGGAGCAAUAAUGGUCACGUGUGGCCAGACGAGAGUACCGUACGAAUAAGCAUCGGCUAACCCCUUUCCAGCAGCCGCGGUCAUACGGGGGAUGCAAGCGUUAUCCGGAUUUAUUGGGUUUAAAGGGUGCGUAUGCUGUGAGGUAAGUCAGCGGUGAAAUGCCGUCGCUCAACGGGGUGAAGUGCCAUUGAUACUGCCGUGCUGGAAUGCGGAUGCCGUGGGAGGAAUGUGUGGUGUAGCGGUGAAAUGCAUAGAUAUCACACAGAACACCGAUUGCGAAGGCAUCUCACGAAUCCGCGAUUGACGCUGAUGCACGAAAGCGUGGGUAUCAAACAGGAUUAGAUACCCCUGUAGUC
rnacentral:rRNA from 1 species